rnacentral:misc_RNA from 1 species
UCCUACUCACAAGGGGCCUUUCC